AUGAAGGCAUACAUGAUGAAUGAGAAGAGAAGAAAAAAAUAAAUUAAGCCUGCCUCUUCACAGAGGAAACUGUAAAUAAGUUAGAGCUCUACAUUUAAGGCUGAUCAGAUGCUGGCUAAAACUCGAGGUUUGGAUCAGUUCUAAAAGCCUUUUGGAUUUGGAUUACCACAUUUUCUACUAUUACUGGUGAGUGUUGGAUUAGAGUGACAGUAUGUUUCCACUAUUGUUAUCACCCCCUUUCCAGAAACCUCAGCUAAGAACUUUGAAUCCCUUCAGUGGUCCUGAAACAUGGAAGUUCCUGGCCUAGUGGUUGAAUCAGAGCUGCAGCUGAAGCCUUUGCCACAGCAAUAGCAAUGCCAGAUUUGAGUGGCAUCUAUGACCUAUGCUGCAGAUUGCAGCAAUGCCAGAUCCUUAACCCACUGAAUGAGGCCAGGGAUUGAACAUGCAUCCUCAUCAGGUUCUUAACCUGCUGAGCCACAAUGUGAUCUCCCUCCUUUUGCUUUCUUAUCUCUCUAUGAUGAAAACAUAAUUUAAGAAAUAUUUUCAAGUUUUACACCACUGUAAAAGAGUCUGGCGUUAAGAGAAGGUUGAAAAUAACCUGCUCAUUUCCUCUAUCUUGGAUGAGGAUAAAAGGCAUUUGUUGCACACUCCCUGAAGACAUAUUUGAUAUUAUCUAUGAUACAUGUGGGUCACCCAGGAUGACUUCAUGCCUGCUGGUUCUGGAAGUAAGCUGAAUUUUUACUUACUCUCUGACAGGAAAUUCCUUUUAACUCAUUACUCAGAUUUCAAUUUUGAAUUUUCGACCACUAACCAUAAUGAUAAUUGCUAUGUAUAGUAAGUGACUUGGCAUUUUUGCAAAUCUCACCCAUGCACAUACUGCUGCAAAAAGUAAAACACCCAAUAAAGCUGUGAGACCUUAUUAGACCUUAAACACCACCCAAAGCCAUACACCUGAGAUCCAGAAAAUAUCACAUGAGUUUUGCAAUUCUAAAAUUUCUUUUCAACCAAUUUUCCUCUUUUUACUUGUAGACUAUGUUUAAGCUGCUUGUUAGAGUUCUGCCUGUACAUUGACAAAAGCAAUAAAUUAGAGAAUAUAACUAUGUAGUAAUUCAGGCAUUAUUGUGGAUCAGAAAUUCAACUUACAUGUAAGUUUACCCUUUAAAUUGCAGUGGUCUCAAUAUUUUAAUACCAUAAAUUCAUGAGAAGCACCAUGAAUAUAAAGUUAGCAACUUAUUUGUGUGAUAUUUAACAUAUUUUUAUUUUUUUAAUACACUAACUCAAAAAUUGGUAGUAAAAUAUAUACUUUUCCCACAUAUAUAUAAAUUAUAUAAUUUUACAUGUAAGCACAAGAGACCAAAAUAAGGAUUCAAGUUCAAGAUUCUCUGAAUUCAUUAUAUUGUUGAGGUAAACAAGCUGAUGUAGCUCAUUAAAAGGAAUGUAGAGUGGAUCAUUAAAAUCUUUCCAAAAUUUAUCCAUUUAUAGACAUAUCCAUCUGUACUGACAGUCAUUCAGCUACAUGUUUUUCCAUCAACAUGUGUAAAUGUGGCAAGAUUUAAAUUGUUUCUCUACAAUGAAAACACAAUUUUGUUCUAGUUUCCUGAUUGUAUAUUAUACUUUUCCUGAAAAUUUGUGUUUGGUCCUUUGAGUGGUAAUUGGCAUUCAUCUCUCAUAUGCUAUUUUAUCAUGUGCCUUUCUCCUGGUGCUGAAUUUGGCAAUGAAAAAUAUAAGGUUCUUUGCAUCCACUCUUCAUAUUUUGGGGAUGAUAAACUUGGAGGCAUAUUAAUUUGUAGUUAAUAUUUAUGUUUUAUAGCUUGACCUAAUCAGUGAUUUUUGUUACCUCAAGAGUCAGCACAAGGGGCUUUUGAAAUUUCUUUGAAGUAAAUGAAGACACCACAGUUAAUACUGCCAUUUAAAGAUGAAUAUAAUGAUAUAAAAGGGAAGGUGCUAUCCUAAGCCAGAAAAAGUAAUCGCUUGUUAUGAUUUGCCCACAAAAUCAUUUUCUCCUUGCACAGCAACACCUCAGCAAUACGAAUCCUCCAGCUUUUGCAAAUAAAUUAAGAUCAGAAAACUGAAAAAAAAAUUACCUUCUUUGAAUAUAGGAAACUGUAAAAUCCAAUAACAACUCAUUAAUUUAAAAGUGGGACCUAAUUAUUAAAAAUCUAUAUUAUAAAUAUUUUUGAAAAAAUAUUUUUGAAGAUUUUAUUGUUGGUAUGUAUAUGAGAAAUGAGAAGACACAAUGUGUCAGCAAAAAUACAAGUCAUAAUGGGAUUCUUCUAUAUUGAUAGUCAGGAAUUAUCAACCUAUUGUGAAAACUGCUUUCCAACAAAAUUCAAAUAGAACGUAAACUGCUUAUAAGAAAACUUAUUAGGUAAAAUCAAAUAAAUAGUGUCCCUUUUAUACAUAAACUGCAUUGUGUAAAACUAAUAUAGUUUAGUUGUACUAUGCUAUAUAGUAGUUCUCUUAAUAAACUAUAAGCUUCUGAAAGCAAAUUCUGAGGAUAAUUCUUUUUUCCCAUUCCUUUCAGCACUUGGAUUAUUGCUUUUCAGAACAAGAAACACAAGGUAUGAUUACUGAUUGAAUGAAUAAAUGAAUGAAUGAAUGAUGUCAAGUAGGAAUAUUUUCAGGAACUGUUGACUCUCUAAGUCAUGAAAUCUCAUAAUAUACCAUUCUCUAGUUCACAACUAUCUUGUACAUUUAUUUUCAAAAUAUACAUGAUGAUUCCUGCAUGGCUAAAAAUACUAAUUCCCCCUAACCAUCCACAUAACACAAUGAUUAGGAGACUGGGCUCUGGACAAAGAAAAAUUUGAAUUUAAAUUCAAGACAUGAACAUUAUUAAAAUUAGAUAAGAUAGCCAGCCUCUCUGAUUUUGUUUUUAUGUCAUAUGUCAAUAAAAAGAAGAUACAUGUUGGAAAAAAUAUAAAAAGAUAUAAUAGAAACAACUUCAUAGGAAAUGAGAAUUAUAAAGUCAAAUAUUUAGUACAGUGCCUAGAACAUAGUAGGCUUAUAACAAAAAGGUAGUAAUUAUUGUUUUUAUUUGAUUUUUCUUGUCUUAAUAACUUUCCAAAACUAUUUCAGAAGAAUAAUUCAUAAUCUCCAAGACAUGUGAAGGAAUUUUAGAAAACAAUAUAAAAAAUAAUAAUAUUAGUCAAGUUAGUUGAUUUAAGUAUAUAUUGACGGCCUAUCAUGUAACAGGAACAUUAGGGGAUGUCAAUAAGAAUUCAAAACUUUAGAUGUGAUUGUUCCAAAAUAUCCAUAGUUUUACAUUUCCUCUCUCUGAAAGUCUUCAAAAAUGCAAAAUAAAAGGGGCCAAAGCUAAAUAAUAAUUUAUCUUUACCAUAAUUAGAAAAUAGUUCCACAUAACCUAAAGAUCUACUAUAAAGAAUAGAAUUUGGAUCAAGUAGUCCAAGAAAAAUUCUUGUGGUAGGGAGGAAGAACACUUAAGGAGAUCUCAACACACAUGAUUUGGGGAAAAUUGUAGUUUCAGCUUAAAUGCCCCUUAAUUCAAAAAGAUUAAGAUUCACUACAAAUAUAUGAGUUCAUUGACAAAGAAAUAUAGAUUAUGAAAAUAUACUGAAUAUGAUAGUUGUUUAUAAUAAUCAAUUUAAUGCACCUCAUUUAGAAUUUGACAGAUUCAGAGACAAAAGAAAAUUAAUGGCAUCACAGAAGAUUUGGACCAUAAUUCAUUAUGCAGCAACAUUUCAAGGACUAAUCAAGAGCUAAAAAUUUGAAAAAUUUUAAAAGAUGCUAAUAGUUUAUGUCCUAUUCUUUGAGCGUAGUGGAAAAUAUGUAUAAAUCAAUAACCAAAAAUCAAAAAGAACAAUCUGAUCAUAAAUAGUCAUUAAAAAUUAAAUAAUUCUUUGGACAAAGAUAUAAAAAUGACAUUACAAAAUAUUUUUUAAAAUGUCACAGUGAGCAUGUUGAACAUUACACCUAUGAAAUGCAAAUAAAAUUUUAUAAAAAUAAACAUCAUACUUAUAUUUUUUCAAAAUAAAAAUAUUCGGAAAGAUAAACUAAACAAUGGGCAAAAAAUCAUAACCACAAAAAAUUUAACAUAAUGACAUUAAUAAAUAUAAAUUCAUAAAUUGAUUAUAUUAAAAAAAACAAAAAUGGCCUAGACAAAUGGGUCUAGUGUGGCAAGAAGUGUUAAUAUAUUUAUAUUAAUAUAUUAUUUAUAUAGGCAAUAUUUCAAUGAUGGCUUUAUAUAAAAUAUGAAAUAUCCAUAAUGUCCACCAUUAGAAAUGGGGAAUGAGAUAUGACCACAGAUGAUACAAGAAAUAAAAAGAUAAAAAUAUUUUGGAUAGUAAAAUUCCAGUUUCAGCCAUAACAGAGUGGGUAGCACCAAGCUUCACAUUUAAACUAUAAAAAGUAGGUAAGGAAAAAACAUAUUUAAAAAUAUAACUCUUUGAAGGUCAUGGAGAACACCCAACACAAGGAAGAUUUAAAGGAUUAGAAUCUGUGAAAAAACGAAAGCAUGAACAGUGAGGUCCACAGUCAUCUCAGCAUGUUCCAUUAAAGCUUUUCUCUAUAACUUGCAGUGCAUCAUAUUAGCCCCUAAGUGGAGAAAAGCAGUCCUACAGAACUGGAGAUUCUAGAAAUUCAGGUCUGGGGUAGCCAAAUUUGUAAGGUCCUGUAAAGGGGAGAAAAACACAAAGAAGCAGCCCAAUAAUAUGAAUUAUAAGUUCCAAUUAUGUCAUUGUCCAACUGGUAAGCUAGAUAUUCACAUGAACAGGCUCCAAGAAAUUCAAUAAAUCUUUGUAGGUAGGAGUUGAGUGGGGAUGAGAAAAGCCUCUUGACACAUGAAAGGGGGAGUUGGAUUCAAAUCACAUCAUGGUUGAAGAAAACAUCCUGGAUUUUAGUCAGGAACCCAAAAGGGGCAUACAUCCAAGAAGUAAGGGCUGUACCCUAAGAGCACUAAGUAUUCCUACAGGAUAGAAAACCUCGAGAUCAAAUCUAACAAAUUCUAAAACCAAGUCUCAACAAAUAAUCCACUAGU
rnacentral:lncRNA from 1 species